rnacentral:sRNA from 1 species
AACAAUCAAAAAAACAGUUCCUUUUCGGACUUCUAAAGCCCCGAAAUGAACCCUUUUUCUCCCAAAGGGUUUGUUUAAUUGGAAGACUUUUAAAGGUUUAAAAAUAAUUUACGGACGUUCGUUUAAUUUUGUGUACCUUUACGGA